rnacentral:rRNA from 1 species
UUGGUUAAGUUAGAAAGGGCGCACGGUGGAUGCCUUGGCACUAGGAGCCGAAGAAGGACGGGACUAACACCGAUAUGCUUUGGGGAGCUGUACGUAAGCGUUGAUCCAGAGAUUUCCGAAUGGGGGAACCCACUAUCUUUAGUCGGAUAGUAUCCUUACGUGAAUACAUAGCGUAAGGAAGGCAGACCCAGGGAACUGAAACAUCUAAGUACCUGGAGGAAGAGAAAGAAAAAUCGAUUUCCUGAGUAGCGGCGAGCGAAACGGAAAGAGCCCAAACCAAGAAGCUUGCUUCUUGGGGUUGUAGGACACUCUAUACGGAGUUACAAAAGAAAGUUAUAAAUGAAGCGGUCUGGAAAGGCCCGCCAAAGACGGUAACAGCCCGGUAGUUGAAAUGGCUUUCCCUCCAGAGUGGAUCCUGAGUACGGCGGAACACGUGAAAUUCCGUCGGAAUCCGGGAGGACCAUCUCCCAAGGCUAAAUACUCCCUAGUGACCGAUAGUGAACCAGUACCGUGAGGGAAAGGUGAAAAGCACCCCGGAAGGGGAGUGAAACAGUUCCUGAAACCGUGUGCCUACAAGUAGUUAGAGCCCGUUAAUGGGUGAUAGCGUGCCUUUUGUAGAAUGAACCGGCGAGUUACGAUUUGUUGCAAGGUUAAGCGGAAAAAGCGGAGCCGUAGCGAAAGCGAGUCUGAAUAGGGCGCAUAAGUAACAGGUCGUAGACCCGAAACCAGGUGAUCUACCCAUGUCCAGGAUGAAGGUAAGGUAAUACUUACUGGAGGUCCGAACCCACGCACGUUGAAAAGUGCGGGGAUGAGGUGUGGGUAGCGGAGAAAUUCCAAUCGAACUUGGAGAUAGCUGGUUCUCUCCGAAAUAGCUUUAGGGCUAGCCUCGAGGUAAAGAGUCAUGGAGGUAGAGCACUGUUUGGACUAGGGGCCCUUCUCGGGUUACCGAAUUCAGAUAAACUCCGAAUGCCAUGUACUUAUACUCGGGAGUCAGACUGCGAGUGAUAAGAUCCGU